AUACGUAGGUGACAAGCGUUAUCCGGAUUUACUGGGCGUAAAGGGCGUGUAGGCGGUCUUGCAAGUCAGAAGUGAAAUUCCUGAGCUCAACUCGGGCGCUGCUUCUGAAACUGCAGGACUUGAGUGCUGGAGGGGAUAGCGGAAUUCCUAGUGGAGCGGUAAAAUGCGCAGAUAUUAGGAAGAACACCGGUGGCGAAGGCGGCUAGCUGGCAAGUAACUGACGCUGAGGCGCGAAAGCGGGGGGAGCAACCAGGAUUAGAUACCCUGUUAGUCCACGCCGUAAACGAUGAAUACUAGGUGUAGGGGGUAUCGACUCCCGCUGUGCCGCAGUUAACACAAUAAGUAUUCCGCCUGGGGAGUACGGCCGCAAGGUUGAAACUCAAAUGAAUUGACGGG
rnacentral:rRNA from 1 species